rnacentral:rRNA from 1 species
UAUUAUUUUGAGUGUUAAAAUUAGAAUGCUUUAUUAGUAGUAGUUAUGUUCUUGAAAAUAAAUAGAUUUGGCGGUUCUUUAGUCCAUUCAGAGGAACCUGUCCUAUAAUUGAUAUACCACGAUUUAAUGUACUUAUUUUAAUUAGUUUAUAUAUCGCCGUUUUAGAAUUUUUUGAAAGAAUUUUAAUAUUUAAGAUUUUAUUUGUAAAAGUAGUUCAGGUCAAGAUGUAGUUUAUAGGUAAGGAGAGAUGGGUUACUUUAAUUUUAUUUAUUGAGCUGUUAUUUUAAAAAUAAUAGUAAAUUGGAUUUGAGGGUAAUAUUAAUUAGUUUAUUAAGAUGAUUUAGGCUCUAGAGUAUGUACAUAUCGCCCGUCACUUUCACUCUAAAGUGGA